rnacentral:rRNA from 1 species
AAUGAACGCUGGCGGCGCGCCUAAUACAUGCAAGUCGAGCGAGAAGACGUAGCAAUACGUUUGUAAAGCGGCGAACGGGUGAGGAAUACAUGGGUAACCUACCCUAGAGUGGGGAAUAACUAGCCGAAAGGUUAGCUAAUACCGCGUACGCUCCUUGGACUUCGGUUCAGGGAGGAAAGCGAUGCCGAGGGUAUCGCGCUCUUGGAUGGGCUCAUGUCCUACCAGCUUGUUGGUGAGGUAACGGCUCACCAAGGCUUCGACGGGUAGCUGGUCUGAGAGGACGAUCAGCCACACUGGCACUGCGACACGGGCCAGACUCCUACGGGAGGCAGCAGUAAGGAAUAUUGCGCAAUGGGCGAAAGCCUGACGCAGCGACGCCGCGUGGGGGAUGAAGGUCUUCGGAUUGUAAACCCCUUUCGGG